UUUUUGGAGAGUUUGAUCCUGGCUCAGAGUGAACGCUGGCGGCAUGCUUAACACAUGCAAGUUGAGCGGAUGUAAUUGUGAAGUUUUGGAUUGGGGCAACCCAAUUUGGAGCGGAACAAUUAUGUUAGCAGCAAACGGGUGAGUAAUACGUGGGAAACCUGCCCUCAAAAGGAGCACAACCCUGGGAAACUGGGGCUAAUUCUCCAUAAUGUUCGGGAGACACAUGUCUUCUGAAUUAAAGGUCGCUUCUGGCGGUCGUUUGAGGAUGGUCCCUCGGCCUAUCAUGGUAGUUGGCGGGGUAAUAGCCCACCAAGCCGAUGACGGGUAGCCGGCCUAAAAGGGUGUUCGGCCACACUGGCACUGAGACACGGGCCAGACUCCUACGGGAGGCAGCAGUGGGGAAUUUUGGACAAUGGGCGCAAGCCUGAUCCAGCAAUGCCGCGUGGGGGACGAAGGUCUUCGGAUUGUAAACCCCUUUUAGAGGGAACGAAACGGCAGGCAACUGCCCUGACGGUACUCUCAGAAAAAGUCACGGCUAACUACGUGCCAGCAGCCGCGGUAAUACGUAGGUGGCUAGCGUUACUCGGAUUUACUAGGCGUAAAGCGUGUGUAGGUGGUUCGGUAAGUUGGAAGUGAAAGCUCUACCGAAAGUAGAGAGGUCUUUCAAAACUGCCGGACUUGAGUGUAGGAGGGGGAACUGGAAUUCCUGGUGAAGCGGUGAAAUGCGUAGAUAUCAGGAGGAACGCCGAUGGCGAAAGCGAGUUCCUGGUCUAUUACUGACACUAAAACACGAAAGCACGGGGAGCAAACAGAAUUAGAUACUCUGGUAGUCCGUGCAGUAAACGAUGCUCACUUGGUAUGGGAGGUGUCGACCCCUUCCGUGCCGAAGCUAACGCGUUAAGUGAGCCGCCUGGGAAGUACGGCCGCAAGGUUGAAACUCAAAGGAAUUGACGGGGGCCCGCACAAGCGGUGGAGUAUGUGGUUUAAUUCGACGCAACGCGAAAAACCUUACCCGGGCUUGAAGAUCUGGUAGUACCUUAACCGAAAGGCUAGGGGACCCGCGAGGGAGCCAGUACAGGUGCUGCAUGGUUGUCGUCAGCUCGUGUCGUGAGAUGUAUGGUUAAGUCCCAUAACGAGCGCAACCCUUGUCCCAUGUUGCUAAUUCGGCAGCAAUGCCGGAUGCACUCUUGGGAGACUGCCCCGGUUAACGGGGAGGAAGGUGGGGAUCACGUCAAAUCAUCAUGGCCUUUAUGUCCGGGGCUACACACGUACUACAAUGGUCGCUACAGAGGGACGCCAAACCGCAAGGUGGAGCAAAUCCCAUAAAAGCGGCCCCAGUUCAGAUUGCAGGCUGCAACUCGCCUGCAUGAAGUCGGAAUCGCUAGUAAUCGCUGAUCAGCACGCAGCGGUGAAUACGUUCCCGGGCCUUGUACACACCGCCCGUCACACCAUGGAAGUUGGCUGCAACAGAAUCCCGCACUUCCAGUUCACCAUCGUUCGGUUAUUUUCAGUGGUGGAUUGAAGGUGCGGGAGAAGUUGUGGUUGAUGACUGGGGUGAAGUCGUAACAAGGUAGGCGUACGAGAACGUGCGCCUGGAUCACCUCCUUU
rnacentral:rRNA from 1 species